CAUGUUCACCUCUGUUUUGGGUUUGCGUAAGUGCGGAACAUUGCAAAUGUGUUCCACCAAUCAGCGUUCUUCAGCAUACAGCCCCGCCCCUCAAGAAUUCCAGGGAAUCUGAAAAGCCCCACCCCCUUACUAGGAACUUUUGUCAGGUAAAGUUUAGGUUUGAGGGAAAGUUUUUUUGUCAGGUAAUUUUGGUGGAAACGUGCCAAGGUUU